AAUAGCACAUAAUAAGUAAUUCUUUGCCUUGAGGUCCUUCAACUUCAAUCUCUCAAUUUCUGCUUUCUGUAUAUCAGACACAACUGUUCCAAUUACUAGUUCUGGAACCCCUUCUGAAACGACUUCCUAGUACUCUUUAGAUAUGAGGAAAUUUUCUAUCAUCAUUGCUCCAAUAAUCAUAGUGACCAUCGAAGCGAGAAUUAUA
rnacentral:lncRNA from 1 species